CCCGGUCUCCAAGGUGCUCUCGGAGAAGGCGGCGUGCAGGUUCGCGGAGGAGCACGGCAUCAGCCUCGUCACCGUCUGCCCCGUCGUCACCGUCGGUGCGGCACCGGCGCCGACCGCCCGCACCAGCGUCCCGAACUGCCUCUCCCUUCUGUCCGGUGAGGCCGUGAGCACGAGCGCUGAGAUGAGCUGACCGGAAGACAGAGAAGAACUUGUCGAUUUCUCUCGUACCUGCAGUUCUUUUCAUACCGCUGCGUCACGUGACUAUCGCAGGCGACGAGGCAGAGUUCGCCGUGCUGAGAGGCAUGGCGAAGGUGUCCGGCACGGUGCCGCUGGUUCACGUCGACGACGUCUGCCGCGCCGAGCUAUUCGUCGC
rnacentral:lncRNA from 1 species